GUGUGACGUCUGCUCGGAGAGCCAGUCCCAGCUGCCUUGCUUGCUGCGCAUGCGCGCAUGUAUCCGGGCGUGCCGCGGUGCCGCUGCUUUCGGGACUCUGGUGUUUGCAGAGCAGGUGGGGACAGGAACGGGGUGGGGCUUGGCGUUAGUGUUUCCGCUAGAGUUUAGUCUUUGUGUAGGCUUCAUGGUGGGAGAAUUUCUUCCCAGGACAGUAGUAGCAGCGUUUUAGACUGGAAGAAAGCCCAUAAAUUGCCUUUCGGAUCCUAGCCAUCCAGAGGCAUCUUUUAAGAAGUUUCUCUCGGAAUGGGGCCUUCCCAAUCCUGUUAGAGCGCAAUGCCAUACUUUUAGAAGAUGUCAGUACUGUGGAAUGAGAUGGCUAACCAUCAUAUGUAUGCUGCAACUCAGAGAUACAGCUGUGAAUUCUCAGAAUACGGUACUGAUGGCCCUGUCGUCCAAUGCAUCCAAUGUCUCAUUUUCAUCUUGGCCAGCUGUGAGCGUUAACCAAGACUUUUCUCUCUGUGUGCCUGUAAAAUUUUGUAGGUCCAGGAUGGUUGGAUAUUAUUUCAUAAAGCCUUAGUCUAGUGAGUUCUAAUAAUUCUUGAUCUUUCCCAAAGAAAUACUGCUCGAGUAUUCCCCAAUAGCAAAGUAACUAAGCAUCCACAUUUUCCAAUUGUAAUGCAGUUUUGAUAUGAGAAAAGUAUGCCUGGUCUCCGGGAUUUAGAAAGUAAACAUGGAACAAUUAGAAUGCGAGUGCCAUGGUUGGGGAGGCGGAUGUUCUGCACAUCUGCAUCCAGAGUGCCUCACUUCAAAUUUCUUGCCCUUUUCCUUUUUGCUUAAGUGUUUCUUGGUAUGUUGCCUGGGAAGUUAGAUAUGUUAUUAUAACACAGUGAGGAAUUAUGUAAGACGAAGCCCAACUUGCUUUUCUUUUUCCUUCCAGUUAUAUGCCUUAGACAAAACUCAACCAUUCUCUUCCAUGAUGUAGAAUGGCUACUGAAAAGGAAGAAGAAAAGAAAGCUUUCAGAGGACAGUGGUAAACAAAUGCAUUAUGAUUUAUUUAACAAGGAACUGUAAGUUUUUUACGUCCAAGAACAUCGAACUUGCUUUUUUAAAAUACUUUCUAAAAAUUUUCUUUUCUUUUGUUUCUUUCCCCCCCCCCAGAAGAACUAUAGAGGUGAGUUGUAUAUUUUUUCUUCUGCUCUUUUUUUUAAUUGAAAUAUAAUUAACAUACAGUGUUAUGUUAGUUUCAGGUGUACAAUACAAUGAUUCAACACUUCUAUACAUUUCUCAGUGCUUAUCAUGAUACUCUUAAUCCCCUUUACCUACUUCACCCACCCCCCUACCCACCUUCCCUAUGGCAACCACCAGUUUGUUCUCUGUUUUCAAGAGUCUGUUUUUUGUCUGUCUCUUUUUUUUCUUUAUUCCUUUGUUUUGUUUCUUAGAUCCCAUAUAUGUGUGAAAUCAUAUGGUAUUUUUCUUUCUCUGACUUAUUUCACUUGGCAUUAUACCUUCUACAUCUAUCCAUGUUAUAGCAGAUGGCAAGAUUUCAUUCUUUUUUAUAGCUGAGUGUGUUCCAUUUUAUUAUAUGUACACACCACAUCUUCUUUAUCCAUUCAUCUAUGGAUGGACACUUGGGUUGCUUCCAUAUCUGGGCUACUGUAAAUAAUGCUGCAGUAAACAGCAGCACAUAUAGGAGUGCACAUAUCUUUUCGAGUUAGUGUUUUCAUUUUCUUUGAGUAAAUACCUGGUAGCAGAAUUAUUGGAUCAUGUGGCAUUUAUAUUUCUAAUUUUUUGAUGAACCUCCAUAUUGUUUUCCACAGUAGCUAUACCAAUUUGCAUCCCUACCAACAGUGCGUGAGGGUUCCUUUUUCUCCACAUCCUCACUAACACUUGUUUCUUGUGUUUUGAUUUUUAGUCGUUCUAACAAGUGUGAGGUGAUAUUGUAGCCCAUUGUAGUUUUAGUUUGCAUUUCCCUGAUGAUGAAUUAUGUUGAGCAUCUUUUCAUGUAUCUGUUGGCCAUCUGUAUGUCUUUGGAAAAAUGUCUAUUCAGGUCCUAUGCCCCUUUUUAAUUGGAUUGUUUGUUUUUUGGUGUUGAGUUGUAGGAGUUCUUUAUAUAUUUUGGAUACUAACUUCUUUUUGGAUAUAUCAUUUGCAAAUAUCUUUUACCAUUCAAUAGGUUGCCUUUUUGUUUUGUGGAUCAUUUCCUUUGCUGUGCAGAAGUUUUUUUGUCUUGGUGUAGUCCCAGUAGCUUAAUUUUGCUUUUGUUUCCUUUGCCUAUGGAGACAUAUCUAGAAAAAUGCAUCUAUGCCUGAUGUCAUAGAAAUUACAGCCUAUUUUUUCUUCCACGAGUUUUAUGGUUUCAGUCUCACAUUUAGGUCUUUAAUCCACUUUAAGUUUUUUUUGUGUAUAGUGUAAGAAAGUGGUCCCAUUUCAUUCUUUUGCAUGUGGCUGUCCAGUUUCCCCAGCACCAUUUGUUGAUGAGAAUAUCUUUUCAACAUUGAAUAUUCUUGCUUCUUUGGUUGUGGAUUCAUUGACCAUAUAAGUGUUGGUUCAUUUCUGGGCUCUCUAUUCUGUUCCACCCAUCUAUGUAUAUAUUUUUGAUCCAGUACCAUUUUAAAAAGAAUACUUGGAUAUGGUAACAAAAAAAAAAUCAAACUGUAAAGAAAAGUACCAAACAAGAAGUAAAUGUUCUGUUCUCCAAUAUCCUACCCCGACUGCUGAACCCACUGACAUAAGAAACACUGUUAGCCAUUUGUUUUACAUCCCUCCUGAAGACGGCUAUGCAUAUUACAAAGAUGUCACAGACAACCACAUGCUUUCUUUCUGUACAGGUUCUACAACUGGAUUUUUUCCCUUCUUGUGUCUUAAACAUCCUUACAUAUCAGUAAACAUCUAUAUUUCAGUUUAAAAGAAAAUUACGAGCUUCAGAGUAUUCCACUGAGUGAAAAUACCAUUAACUGUUUAUACAGUCUCUUUCUGGUCCACAUUUGAAUUGUUUUUAGAUCAUUACUAUUGCAAACAAUACUCUACUGAACGCCUUUGUAAAUAUAUACUUGUGCACAAAAGAAAAUAUAUCUGCAGGGUAAACUUCUAAAAGUGGAAUGACUAGUUCUGAGCUUACAUAUAUUUACAUAUUGAUAAUUUCCUCCUAAUUUAGACCCCAACUUGUUAACCAGUGUAAACACUCAGCAGCAAUGCAUGCGAGUAUGUUUCCCAACUGCUCCCAUCGCUGGAAAUUUGUUACCUCUGGGGUUCAGGGGAAGACUUUUACUUUUUGUUUUCAUAGACGUCUGUACUAUAUAGACAUGACAUAAUGAUGAUGUUCCUUUUUGUAAUUAAAAAAGAUGAAAGAGAUUAAGAACACUUGUUUGUAACUGUUUGGGGAAUAAGAUUCUACUUGCAAAGCAGAGCCCAGAAUAUGAGACCAUUCAUCAAAAUAAGACCACAGAAGGGGACAGUCAGAGACAGAGCUCUGAUAAGGGCAGGCUUACAGAGGGGAAAGGGCUAUGCCUUACCAGCUACCUACUGGGGAGCACCGGGGGAGGUAACCCUGUGCUAACAAGAUGCAGCAGGCUAGAGAUAGUUAUAAAUCUCUUACAGUGUUACUAUCUCCCCACCCCCCAUGAGAUCGGGAUGAGCCCUAGAAUGAGAAUUGAUUUUUACAGGAUACACUUACAAAGCAAGGAACAGUGGUCAAGCACUGCACUUAGUCCUCCUCUCUUGUACCCAAAGGACAAUACAGUCUGCACUACUCCCUUUAAAUUCUGCUAGACUAGAGUGCGCUCAAUUCCUCUUUUUCUCACACAGACUGGAAAACUUGGAUCUAUGCCCACAUGUACACAUUUUCUUUAGUAUCCCACCCUCAGAAUCAUUACCAUAGAGAAGUGUUUCUGGGCAGGAAUUCUUUGCAAAACAAUAUCCAGAUUGGAGGGGAAAAAAUCUGAGUCACAAGGAUUUAAAGUCCUGUCUGGUCUGCUACAAGAGAUGUUUCUGUAACGUCUGGUAUCUCAUAUGCAAUAGGCAAAUAGGAAAAUAAUGUCAGUAAAACAUGGAAUUUGUGGAACUCAAGCAUGACUAUCCUGGGCAAGGACAGCGGGAAUGACAGGAAUGAAAUUAUAACCUUCCGUAUGGAAGGAAAAACCUUUAGUGUGUCUGCUGCUAAGCAGUAGUUCUUUCCAUCGUAUUUUAAGGAAUUUAAAAAGAAGUGCUUAAUUGCUAAUGGUAGUGCAAAAUUGGGCAAGCCCAAUGAAAUGGAAUUUGACAAUUCUAGCAUUUACCCUUGCUUAUGGGCUGAAUUGUGUCCCCUCCCAAAUUCGUAUGUUGACGUCUUCACGCUCAGUACUUCAAAAUGCAAUGGUGUUUACAGACAGGACCUUUAAAGAGGUAAUUAAGGCAAGAUUGGGUUGUAUGGGUGCAUCCUAACCCGAUGUGACUGGUGUCCUUAUUAGAAGGGAGAUUUAGACAUGGACAUUACACAGUAAGAGGAAAGACCAUGUGAGCACACAGCAAGCAGGUGGCUAUCUGCAAGCCAAAGAGAGAGGCCUCAGGAGAAACCAAAUUUGCCAACACCGUGAUUUGGGAUCUCUAGUCUUUAAAACUGGGAAAAAAUAAAUUUCUGCAGUUUAAGCUACCCAAUCUAUAGUAUUUUGUUAUGGCAGCCCUAGCAAACUAAUAAUUCUUGGACACAUAAAAAGGAAACAACAUAAUGAAAAUUAUUCAUUGUGAUAAUAUUUAUGAUAGCAACAAAAAUGGAAAGAACCUAAUUUCCUUCCACUGGAGACUAGUCAACUAUGGCAUAUGCACACAAUGGGGUAUGAUGCAGCCAUAAAAGACAGUGAGGAAGACUCUGUGACCUGAUAACGAAGUGAUUUCCAGGAUAUGCUCUUAUGUGAAAAACAGCAAGUACAACAGAGUGUAUGUAACAUACUAGUUUUUGUUGUUAGAAAGAAGGAAAAUAAAAAUAUUUUUACAAAAAAUAAACACAGGAAGGAUAGAUCCAAAACGAUAGGCUACCCACCGUUAACCUAAUGUAAGGUAAGGAGUAGGUAAUGAGCUAGAUUAAAUAGGGAUGGGGGUGCAGUAUCCCUGGGCGGAUCUUUGUAUUUAGUUUGAAUUUUUUAGUUAUGUAAAUGUGCUGCACAUUAAAAAAUAAACUGAAAAGACUGAAAGAAGCAAACCCUGAAAUCAAAAUAACUAGAAAAAAAGUAAACCUAAUCAUUUAUCAAAUUGGUAACAUGACCAUGCAGGUUAACAGAAUUAAAGUAACUUUUGGACACAGUAAUCUGAAUGAGAGACAGCCUAAGGAUCAAAAGAUCAGCAGCAAACCUUGGAGCUUAGUAGGUUUGCUGUUAGGAUUGGUAUUAGAGUACUGAAAUUACCGUAUUUGUAUUGUGGGAUAGAGCAAAAGAAAAAAUCGUGUUGAGGGAGUUAGGAACUCGGGUCCUUCCUGUUUAGAAUAUAUACACAGUGGGGAAAGGUGAGGGAGAACCCUGAAAUUGGAGGCGCCAUGAUAAAUUCUGUGUCAGUAGCAGUGGGCACACCUAGAAAUUAGGUCUUGGUUUCUAAAUAUGAUUCUUUACUCUCUUAAACAACAAGGCCCCCUGGGCAGAUGGCCAAUUCUAAGUUUGGAGCAGGGGAAGCGCAAGAUGAGCCCAAAAUAUAUAGUACCAGAAAUCCAGGGCAUGUUCAAAGACUACAAAAGACAUGUCUAGGGGCUGCUGGGUGGCUCAGUAGGUUACGCAUCAGACUUCAGCUCAGGUCAUGAUCUCUGACAGCUCGGAGCCUGGAGCCUGCUUCGGAUUCUGUGUCCCCCUCUCCCUCUGCCCCUCCCUCCUCCUCCAC